CUACACAUGCAGUCGAGCGGUAACAGGGGUAGCUUGCUACCCGCUGACGAGCGGCGGACGGGUGAGUAAUGCAUAGGAAUCUGCCCGGUAGUGGGGGAUAACCUGGGGAAACCCAGGCUAAUACCGCAUACGUCCUACGGGAGAAAGGGGGCUCCGGCUCCCGCUAUUGGAUGAGCCUAUGUCGGAUUAGCUAGUUGGUGAGGUAAUGGCUCACCAAGGCGACGAUCCGUAGCUGGUCUGAGAGGAUGAUCAGCCACAUCGGGACUGAGACACGGCCCGAACUCCUACGGGAGGCAGCAGUGGGGAAUAUUGGACAAUGGGGGCAACCCUGAUCCAGCCAUGCCGCGUGUGUGAAGAAGGCCCUCGGGUUGUAAAGCACUUUCAGCGAGGAAGAACGCCUAGUGGUUAAUACCCAUUAGGAAAGACAUCACUCGCAGAAGAAGCACCGGCUAACUCCGUGCCAGCAGCCGCGGUAAUACGGAGGGUGCAAGCGUUAAUCGGAAUUACUGGGCGUAAAGCGCGCGUAGGUGGCUUGAUAAGCCGGUUGUGAAAGCCCCGGGCUCAACCUGGGAACGGCAUCCGGAACUGUCAGGCUAGAGUACAGGAGAGGAAGGUAGAAUUCCCGGUGUAGCGGUGAAAUGCGUAGAGAUCGGGAGGAAUACCAGUGGCGAAGGCGGCCUUCUGGACUGAUACUGACACUGAGGUGCGAAAGCGUGGGUAGCAAACAGGAUUAGAUACCCU
rnacentral:rRNA from 1 species